rnacentral:rRNA from 1 species
GACGAACGCUGGCGGCGUGCUUAACACAUGCAAGUCGAACGGAAAGGCCUUUUCGGCGGUACUCGAGUGGCGAACGGGUGAGUAACACGUGGGUGAUCUGCCCUGCACUCUGGGAUAAGCCUGGGAAACUGGGUCUAAUACCGGAUAGGACCGCACUUUAGUGUGUGUGGUGGAAAGUUUUUUCGGUGUAGGAUGAGCCCGCGGCCUAUCAGCUUGUUGGUGGGGUAAUGGCCUACCAAGGCGGCGACGGGUAGCCGGACUGAGAGGUUGGUCGGCCACAUUGGGACUGAGAUACGGCCCAGACUCCUACGGGAGGCAGCAGUGGGGAAUAUUGCACAAUGGGCGCAAGCCUGAUGCAGCGACGCCGCGUGGGGGAUGACGGCCUUCGGGUUGUAAACGCCUUUCGCCAGGGACGAAGCGUUUUGUGACGGUACCUGGAGAAGAAGCACCGGCUAACUACGUG